rnacentral:rRNA from 1 species
GAUGAACGCUAGCUACAGGCUUAACACAUGCAAGUCGCGGGGCAGCAUGGGGGUUGCUUGCACUCCCCGAUGGCGACCGGCGCACGGGUGAGUAACGCGUAUCCAACCUGCCCUUCACCACGGGAUAACCCGGCGAAAGUCGGACUAAUACCGUAUGUUGUUCAUUGACGGCAUCCGAUUUGGACGAAAGGUUUGGCGGUGAAGGAUGGGGAUGCGUACGAUUAGCUGGACGGCGGGGUGACGGCCCACCGUGGCGACGAUCGGUAGGGGUUCUGAGAGGAAGGUCCCCCACACUGGAACUGAGACACGGUCCAGACUCCUACGGGAGGCAGCAGUGAGGAAUAUUGGUCAAUGGGCGUAAGCCUGAACCAGCCAAGUAGCGUGCAGGAUGACGGCCCUAUGGGUUGUAAACUGCUUUUAUGCGGGGAUAAAGUGGCCCACGUGUGGGUUUUUGCAGGUACCGCAUGAAUAAGGACCGGCUAAUUCCGUG